rnacentral:lncRNA from 1 species
GGGCCGUAACUAGCCUCUUCUAAUAGUGAGGCAAAAUAUAUUCGCCGAGCGGAACGAGUCGAAAAAAUUUUGACGAGGGGUUUUGGGGCCGCUCAAGGCCCCCAGAAGCUCUGAGAAAAAUUACGAAAAAUCGUGCAUUCUGAAAGUUUCCCGGACUCUUUCUGACAUUAAAACGAAAUUAAUUGUUUGCUAUUUUCCGACAAUAAUCUGGUCUCAAAGCAAC